rnacentral:rRNA from 1 species
UACGAAGGGGGCUAGCGUUGCUCGGAAUCACUGGGCGUAAAGCGCACGUAGGCGGCUUUCUAAGUCAGGGGUGAAAUCCUGGAGCUCAACUCCAGAACUGCCUUUGAUACUGGAGAGCUAGAGUCCGGAAGAGGUGAGUGGAACUGCGAGUGUAGAGGUGAAAUUCGUAGAUAUUCGCAAGAACACCAGUGGCGAAGGCGGCACUCUGGGCCGGAACUGACGCUGAGGAGCGAAAGCGUGGGGAGCGAACAGG